UCCUGACCUGCUGCGUGUCUCCUCAUGGCCCCCCUCGGCCUCCUGGUUCCUCCUCUGUAACACGGUGGCGAAGCGGUUCCGUGGUCGAGGCUGGCUGCUCCCGGAGGGCCAGACCACUUCCUGGUCUGGUCUGGACCGCUUGUGACUGGAGCAGGAGGAGGAAGAGGAGGAGGAGAAGGAGGAGGAGGAGGAGGAGUACAGCUGCAGCACGUCCUGGUCUGAAACACCGGAGUCUGCAGGGCGUGAAGAACAGACGAGGGUCAAACCUGCGACCUUCAGGCUGUGAGCCCACCGCUUCCUUCCAGCUCCCUCCAGUGGCGUCUCAGAAGACGAACGUCUGCUGAAUGUGGUUUUAAGGUUUAUUUCCCUUCUAUUUCUUAAUAAAGUAUUUCUAUUCUG